CGUCCGGGAUGGGCGGGGCUACAAGGGGGCGUGGUCACACGAAGGAAGGGCGGGUUCUCAUCGGGGCGUGGCCCCGCUGGGUGGGCGUGGCCCGCUGCCGGGCCGGAAGUGGGGCGGGGCGGAAAGCAGCGGCGGCGGCGGUUCCGGUAACGGCGGCGGCGAUGAGCUUCGUGUGGCCCUGGCAGUACAGCUUCCCUCCCUUCUUCACGCUGCAGCCCAACGGCGAGACGCGGCAGAAGCAGCUGUCGGCCUGGUGCGCGCUGGCGCUGGCCUACAGCCAGGAGCACCGGCUGCCCGCCAUGACGGUGCGGGAGGCUCAGGACAUCCCGCUCUUCGCCAACCACCGCCUGCAGCGGAAGCUGCCGCUGGAAUCCAUCCAGGUGGUGUUGGAGGAGCUCCGCAAGAACGGGAACCUGGAAUGGUUAGAUAAGAACAAAACCAGCUUUCUGAUCAUGUGGAAGAGACCCGAAGAAUGGGGAAAGCUCAUCUAUCAAUGGGUGUCCAAGAAUGGCCUGACCAACUCUGUGUUCACGCUGUAUGAACUGGUCAGUGGAGAUGACACAGAGAAUGAAGAGUUUCAUGGCUUGGACGAGGACACGCUGCUCCGUGCCCUGCAGGCCUUGCAGCAGGAGCACAAGGCUGAGAUUAUCACGCUGGAUGACGGCCGAGGCGUCAAGUUCUUCUGACUGGAGCCUCCUCCCCUUCCCUGCUGCAGGCUGGGCUCUCCCUGCCAAGCGUUCCUCUCUGGGCCUGGCCUCAGACUGUGACUGCAAGUAGCUGCAUCUUGGGAUUUCUUGGGGCAAGAUGAGUCUGAGAACCCUUCCAAAGACUUAGGAAUAUCCUGAGCUCCUCUGUCUGUCUGUUCUCCCUGUUGAUGUGUUCAGGAGGCUGAAGCUGCUCUAGGCAGUUCUGAGAGGGACCACCCAGAAGUGAAACUGGACUGCUGCUGGUCCCUGUGCCUGUGAUGGCCUCGAAGCAGCCCCAGCUGGCUGGUCAAGCCUGGCCUCACAGGGUCCCCCUGUGUCCCUGCCAGCCACGUGCCUGGGUCCUGCAGUCCUGCUGCAGUGCCAGGGGCUGAGGCAGGAGCAGGGGUUGGCUGUGGAGCCCUCAGUGGCAGAAGGAAAUGCACUUGCUGCCAAGCAGGCUGGGGGAAGCCAGGGAACUAAUUUCAGGGAAAUGCAGUGGUUCCAGGGUGGGAAACAGCACAAGAAGAAAGGAGAAGGGGAUCCUUGCUGCCUUUCUCAGGACAACAUUUACUUUAAAUUUGCAUGUGCAGCCUGCUGGAAGCCCCUGGGUUUGUGCAGAGGUGAUGGGGUAAGCUCUGUACCACUGUGGCUGGGAGAGGGAUGACUCAGCUUUAGGUGAUAACAAAGUCCUCAGCUUGUCAGAAAUUGUGGCCCAGGUGCAGUUGCUGACCCUGUGAGCCCUGGGGAAGCAGAUGGCUGUGCUGGGGCAGGGCCACCUUUCCCUGGUGGGUGUGUGCAUGUCACUGGCAGAGGUUGGGGACAGUGCUGGUGUGACCUCAGGUCAGUCUGGGGCCCAGCAGAGCAGAUGGCACUUGCACCUCACAGGCUGCCCCUGUCUGGCCUUCCCUGCCCUUGGGGACAACCUGGCACUGGCUGACCUGCUCCUGACAGCUGAUGUCAGCAUUGAGGAGUUCUCAGUGUAGGUGAGAUGCUGGAGUCUGGGGGCUGUGAAAUAUGAAAAUUUGUCCUUUACAGGAGCCCACUGAGCUGGACUUGCUGGGACGUGCUGCCCUGGUGUGGGCACAUUGCUCUGGAACUGUGGCUGGAGCCCAGGCUUCCUCUCUGUGCCAGGCUCAGCAGUGCUGUGGAGGAAUUCCUGAGUGCCAGCACUUCUGUGCUGAACAAAGGCACCAGCAGUGCUCCAGAGUCACUGACACUGGGCUGGUGUGGGUCCUUUCUGAGGACCAUCACCCCCAGGGGCUCUGUCAUGGUCCUGCCACUGAUGGUGCUGAGCAAACCCAGCAGCACAGGCUGUGCCAUGGCCUGUGCCAUGAGCCCUGCAGUGCAGCUGUCCCCACAGCUGGACAGCCUCUGCUUGCUCAGGGAUCAUCCCUCUAUAUCUGCAGCCACCAAAGUCUCUGUGUAGGAUUCUUGUGCUCCCAGUCUGCCCUGGGUUUGUUCCAUGUCCAAGAUCUGCCUCUGCUUUCCUUCUCAUGCCACCUGCAUUGCCCUUCCCUCUGUGGUUGCUCUGUCUGCCCUGCUGCUCUUGUAGCCCUGCAGAGAGCAGGGUUCUGUGCCUGAAGUUGUCUGUAUUUGACCCCAAACAAUUUGAUCCCUUCAGCAGCCAGGCUGGAGUGUCUGUUCUCUGCCUGUGUGCACAAUCCCGACCUCCCAGCACUGUGUUCCAGGCUGGGAGUGCUGUGUGUAACCUGGCUGUCCUUGAGGGAGUCUGUGUUCUUAAUUAAAUUUGCUCCCUUCUUA